GACGAACGCUGGCGGCGUGCUUAACACAUGCAAGUCGAACGGAAAGGCCCUGCUUGCAGGGUACUCGAGUGGCGAACGGGUGAGUAACACGUGGGUGAUCUGCCCUGCACUUCGGGAUAAGCCUGGGAAACUGGGUCUAAUACCGGAUAGGAGCCAUUUUUAGAGUGAUGGUUGGAAAGUCUUUUCGGUGUAGGAUGAGCUCGCGGCCUAUCAGCUUGUUGGUGGGGUAAUGGCCUACCAAGGCGGCGACGGGUAGCCGGCCUGAGAGGGUGGACGGCCACAUUGGGACUGAGAGACGGCCCAGACUCCUACGGGAGGCAGCAGUGGGGAAUAUUGCACAAUGGGCGCAAGCCUGGUGCAGCGACGCCGCGUGGGGGAUGACGGCCUUCGGGUUGUAGACUCCUUUCGCUAGGGACGAAGCUUUUUGUGACGGUACCUAGAGAAGAAGCACCGGCUAACUACGUG
rnacentral:rRNA from 1 species